rnacentral:rRNA from 1 species
AUUGAACGCUGGCGGCAGGCCUAACACAUGCAAGUCGAACGGUAACAGGAAGAAGCUUGCUUCUUUGCUGACGAGUGGCGGACGGGUGAGUAAUGUCUGGGAAACUGCCUGAUGGAGGGGGAUAACUACUGGAAACGGUAGCUAAUACCGCAUAACGUCGCAAGACCAAAGAGGGGGACCUUCGGGCCUCUUGCCAUCGGAUGUGCCCAGAUGGGAUGAGCUAGUAGGUGGGGUAACGGCUCACCUAGGCGACGAUCCCUAGCUGGUCUGAGAGGAUGACCAGCCACACUGGAACUGAGACACGGUCCAGACUCCUACGGGAGGCAGCAGUGGGGAAUAUUGCACAAUGGGCGCAAGCCUGAUGCAGCCAUGCCGCGUGUAUGAAGAAGGCCUUCGGGUUGUAAAGUACUUUCAGCGGGGAGGAAGGGAGUAAAGUUAAUACCUUUACUCAUUGACGUUACCCGCAGAAGAAGCACCGGCUAACUCCGUG